AGAGUUUGAUCCUGGCUCAGGAUGAACGCUGACAGAAUGCUUAACACAUGCAAGUCGACUCGAGUCUUCGGACUUGGGUGGCGCACGGGUGAGUAACGCGUAAAGAACUUGCCUCUUAGACCGGGACAACAUCUGGAAACGGAUGCUAAUACCGGAUAUUAUGGUUUUUUCGCAUGGAGGAAUCAUGAAAGCUAGAUGCGCUAAGAGAGAGCUUUGCGUCCCAUUAGCUGGUUGGUGAGGUAACGGCCCACCAAGGCAAUGAUGGGUAGCCGGCCUGAGAGGGUGAACGGCCACAAGGGGACUGAGACACGGCCCUUACUCCUACGGGAGGCAGCAGUGGGGAAUAUUGGACAAUGGACCACAAGUCUGAUCCAGCAAUUCUGUGUGCACGAUGACGUUUUUCGGAAUGUAAAGUGCUUUCAGUCGGGAAGAAGUCAGUGACGGUACCGACAGAAGAAGCGGCGGCUAAAUACGUGCCAGCAGCCGCGGUAAUACGUAUGUCGCAAGCGUUAUCCGGAUUUAUUGGGCGUAAAGCGCGUCUAGGCGGCAAGGAAAGUCUGAUGUGAAAAUGCGGAGCUCAACUCCGUAUGGCGUUGGAAACUGCCUUACUAGAGUACUGGAGAGGUAGGCGGAACUACAAGUGUAGAGGUGAAAUUCGUAGAUAUUUGUAGGAAUGCCGAUGGGGAAGCCAGCCUACUGGACAGAUACUGACGCUAAAGCGCGAAAGCGUGGGUAGCAAACAGGAUUAGAUACCCUGGUAGUCCACGCUGUAAACGAUGAUUACUAGGUGUUGGGGGUCAAACCUCAGCGCCCAAGCUAACGCGAUAAGUAAUCCGCCUGGGGAGUACGUACGCAAGUAUGAAACUCAAAGGAAUUGACGGA
rnacentral:rRNA from 1 species